CAAAAAUAUUUUUAACAACAAAACUUUGUAUUUCCAGUGUGAUCUAAACACAAAAUUAUGCAAAACACAACUAAUAUUUCUCUCCUACUGGCUAAAUCAUGCCAGUUGUUUAGGUGCAAUCAAAAAUAAGCCACUAAUGUUAUUUUUAUAGGAAUUGGCAAGUAAUUGCCAACUAUAGCUAUUAAAAGUUUAUAUUUGCCACAGGAGCCUGUGAUUUUAAAUACUGUUCAAAUGAUUUAUGCUUGAGAGUUAUACAUAGCACAAAUACAUACAUUUGUAUCUACAGGUCUAAAGAGGAAAAAUUAGACAAAAAGCAACUUGAAAAGGAACCCCUUUAUUUUUAAUGACCUACCUUUGUGCUGUAUUGAGAAAAAGUAUAAAAAUUAUUUGGGAGGAAGAAAAAUAUUUCUAAGCACUAAUUUCAUAGGCAAAAGCCCUAUUAUUUUUUAUGAUAGGCUAGGGGAAAUCAAUAAUGAUUUAAAAGCAAACAGUAAACUGCUCACAUUUACCAGUCUAUACUCAGUAUUAAUUCUACCCUGCAGUGUAUGCUAUAGAAGGUAAUGAAAUGCUGAUGUUUUCUGGUUUUCCACUUCAAUCUGCUCCAGCUUUAUCCUAAACCUUGUCAGCAACAGAAGUUACCCCCCAGCAAUCAUACAAACCUAAUAACGGCUUCCCUGGCUUAAUUUGAUCUGCUCCAAUCACAAAUUCCAAUCCACAUACUUUCUUCUGUUAUGGUUGUGUCUGUAUGUGUUUAAUGUACUUUUUAUAAGGCUUUUUUACAACAAGCGCAUGGUUUUUCAUUCAGCCCUCUACCACAUAAACAGAACCACUGAAGAGCAUUUUUGUUCAUAUAAAAAUGUUUUAGUUAUUCAUAGUGUAUGUCUUCAAUUGGCUGCAGAUUACAGUGAACAAAAGUAUUGCUGCCAUCAUUUUACAUUUCUCCUGUUACUGUGCCCUAUCUGCUGUGUACCCCUGUCCCCAAAGCAUUUAUUAUAAUAUUUGCUGCUUGCUCUCAGUUUUGGACUGAGAUGCUUGGGGGUGGGAAAACUUAAAACUUGCCUGACUCAAGUGCUCUCUAAGCUUUGAUCCCAGCAUCCUGCUUUAACCUGCUCCUGUUGGACCUCUGCCACUUUACUGACCCCAUAAAACAAACAGAGCUAGCAAAUGCAUCAAACAGCCUCCUUCAAAAUGCAGCUUGACUGUGAUUCAUGGCACAAAGCUGGAAUAACCCUGCCAGUUCUUAGAAGCUUUAAGAUUCAUCGUCUUGAACUUGAUACACAUAGUAUAGCACCUUAAAAACGAAUCAUCUGCUAGUUCAGUAUUUUCUACUUACAAUCACUCCCUCCCAGGGCAUGUAAUUAAUUUACUGAGCUUAAAAAAAAAAUAUCAGGAUUACUCACACAGUCUUGAAGAUGCAAUGUCAGCUAUUUAGGACAGAAACAUCCAAGGCCGUGUCAGAACUCAAUUACGACUACAUAUGCAUUAAGGCAGGAACUGGCAGGCCUCAGGGUACGCCAACUAUAGGACUCGUGCUUCUCGUACGCUGGGCUAUAAUCUAUGAAACUGAGCUCCAGAGCCAGCCAAUCACUUAGCUCCUCAUAACAAGUCUAACUGGCUCUGGAAAGCUGAAAGGGCUGCACUGGAACAACACAGAUGAGAUAUUCUACACAUUAAUCUACUUAUCUGGAAUCACUUUGCCUCUAAAGGCCAGAGAAAAAUCACAGCUUCCUUGUCGGAGGGGAAAAGGACAGGUGAUCUGGGGAAAACGCAGCUACACCUGGAGCAAGGUCUCUUCCCGGCUUGGCAAUCUCAGCUGUGCCGGCGCUACGGGACCCGAGCCGUCCCAGAAACCAAAGGGCAGGCACGGCAGCAAACGCCUGAGUGCUGCUGCCUUCGGUGACUAUAUGAGAAUGGAAACUUCUAAGGAAGCCAGAAAUUUCCCAUAGGAAGACUUCACCUCCUACAACUCCGAAGAAAACCCUUACUGUCCAAGACCGUCACCAGCAACCAUCCGCAGUCAUUCAAGUGGAAGCUUUCACAGCUUUUGUACAUUCUCUGUGUCAAUAUACAACUGAGUUACAGACUGUCCCCUGGCUCCCUGACCCUUACAAACACUAAAAGUUUUGUUUGACUCAACUUCAAGCUGCUCAUCUGUUAGUAAGUGAUGUUCACUCCAGAACACAUUCAUGAUGAGAACUUUCUAAAAGACCAGCACUGCUCUUCCCCUCCUAUAAUCAUAAUAAUCAUGAUAACCUGAAACAUGUUACUGGGACUCGACAUUUUUCUGGGGAUUGAAAUCUUUAGUCCUUGGAGCUGUCACAUAGCAGGGGCAACCUCACACUGAAACAAAGGAAGUGAUGUCCCAUUAUUAUCCACCCUGAGCCACCAUAAUAUGCUGUUUACAUUUAUUUUCUUCAGCCUGUGCAAAACAAAGCAAUGGAAAAGGAAACUAAAAAAUAUACAUACUAGUACCAUUAUCUUCUUUUGCCUAAAAUUACUAAUGCACCACGUCAGUCUGCUUCCUUCAGGCAUCAUUCUCAAUUCAUCAGGACUUGUAUUAGCAGGUUCUGGCUAGAGAGACUAUCUCCUGUCAUCACGAUCAAUUAAUGUUUUCUGGUGAUCACAUCAGGCCCUAUCUAAGAAGCUCAUGGUAUACAAGGGUCACCCAAAUAGCUGAGUGCAGUCCUUGCUCAUAUUUCCUUCAUCUUAACCCCGCAAACAAGAAUUAAGAUGAUCCCAAUAAAAGAAAAAUUGCUCAGGAAACUGAACCUUUUUCUGAACCAAGCACUGUCAGCAAAUCUCAGGUAUUAGAGCAACUAUGGUUGAUUGAAAAGUGUCUCAAAAUCUGGGCCAAGAAUGAUUGCUAGGUCCAUAAGCUAAUUUGUCUGGCCUUGCCAUUUACGUAAGCCAAAGAAAGUCACUCAUGAGUAAACUAUAGAAAACGUUCAGACCCAUCCUGUUAGUAUGUCAAAUCAACUAAGACUGGCAGGGUAUUAACUCCAUUCCAGGUGACAUGGAUAAAGAGCCCCAUUAUUUUCACAGUGCCAGCCUCUACCUAAGGAAACCCUAGACCUUGGAACCAGUUUCCUGGUAGGGAACUGCUGACAGUUUCAAUGCUGACAGUUGGAGCCAAUGCCUCAUAGUGUAAACUGAAAGAAAAAUAGUUGCUUUUUAAAAUGUCAGCAAGAAGGCCUGCCUCAUCUUAACAAAGCAAAAAAAAAUGCUUUAAUUCAAAUUAAAAAUCAUGAUACUAGAGAUGGGAGUCUGUGGUCACUAUAAAGAUAAAGUUCAUGUUCUUGGUUCAGAUAACAAAACACUUUAUCUGGAUAAAUGGACCUCAAAAUUUGCUCUUGGCACAUGGGGGAAAUUUUUUGUUGUAUUUUGUUGUUGUUGUUGUUCUUGUUGUUAUUGUUUAAAUUAAUCUUCCUAAGGCCAUGAAUAUGAAAUCAUAUUAAUAAUGCAUGUGACAAAAUUCUAAAAUAUAUUACACUUAAAAUUAGCAUAAACCAUCAACUUUUAGUACUCAUAUAUUGCAGUCAAAACUCUUCUAGGUAAUGAGACCUGAACAGAAGGAUCCAUUUAUCUGUGGUCUUGCUCUUUGUCUAAGUUUCUCGAAAGCAUUAGGACAAUGACAUAUACAAAAACUGGCAAUUACAUUUAAUAAGAAAAAUGUGGGGAGUGCAUUCUUAAUAUUUGAUGCUAAAACCAUAUCUUUGCUUUAAACAUGUAAAGCAGUAUAACAUGGUGGUUGGUAGAAACUCUGGAGUCAGGCCACCUGGGUUCACAUCCCAGCUCUGACUCUUAAUUGUUAGACCCUGAGCAAGCUACUUAACAGCAUUAUGCCUCAGUUUCCUCCUAUAUAAAAGGGUGCCACACACAGUAACUACCUCCUAGGCUGGUGUGAAGAUUAAAUGGGCAAAUACAUGCUUAGAACUGAGCCUAUUAUAUGGUGACUGCUCAUUAAAAGAAAAUUGUCGGGAGGGAUAGCAUUGGGAGAUAUACCUAAUGCUAGAUGACGCGUUAGUGGGUGCAGCGCACCAGCAUGGCACAUGUAUACAUAUGUAACUAACCUGCACAAUGUGCACAUGUACCCUAAAACUUAAAGUAUAAUUAAAAAAAAAAAAAAAAGAAAAUUGUCAGCUAGAAAUGGUGGCUCGCCCCUUUAGUAAUCCCAGCCCUUUAGAAGGCCAAGGAUCACUUGAAUCCAGGAGUUUGAGACCACCCUGAGCAACACAGCAAGACCCCAUCUCUGCAAAAAAGAGAAACAAAUAAAUAAAUAGCUGGGCAUGGUAGCACACACCUGUAGUCCCAGCUACUUGGGAGGCCAAGGUGGGAGGAUCACUUAAGUCCAGGAGUUGGAGGCUGCAGUGAGCUAUGGUUGUGCUAUUGCACUCCAGCCUCAGUGACAGAGUGAGAUCCUGUCUCAAAGAAAAAAUUGAAAAAACAUAAAUAAAUAGAAAUAAAAUUGUUUUUAUUAGGAUUAAGCUCACUGCAAUAAAUAUACACAAUAUUGAAAAUGAAGGUGAAUUCCAUGGAAUACUAUGCAGCCAUAAAAAAGGAUGAGAUCAUGUCCUUUGCAGGGAGAUGGAUGAAGCUGGAAACCAUCAUUCUCAGCAAACUAUCACAAGGACAGAAAACCAAACACCGCAUGUUCUCACUCAUAGGUGGGAACUGAACAAUGAGAACACUUGGACACAGGGCAGGGAACAUCACACACGAGGGCCUGUCAGUGGGUAGGGGGCUGAGGGAGGGAUAGCAUUAGGAGAAAUACCUAAUAUAAAUGACGAGUUGAUGGGUGCAGCAAACCAACAUGGCACAUGUAUGCCUAUGUAACAAAUCUGCACAUUGUGCACAUGUACCCUAGUACUUAAAGUAUAAAAAAAAAAGAUUAAAAAAAAGAAGAAAAGAAAAAAAAAAUGAAGGUGAAUUAAUGAACUGCCAGAUGUGGUGAAAUGUGUCUACUAACAUCACAUAUUGCAUUUCAACUAAUAUUUGUAAGUAAGAUUUUGCCUUAAGGCCUCUAAGAUAACAGCACAGUGAAGUGUGUUGGUCACUAUUAAUCAUCAGUUUUUUGCCUGGUUCUCAAUUGACACUUUUAACCCUGCCCUGUAUUUUGCUGUGUCAUGCAAGGACACUAACCCAGGACAUGACACACAAGGGGUAACAGUAGUAGACAUGAUUCAUAUGAUAGUUGGUACAAAGUUUAGACUAGUUUAAACAUUCCUGCAUGAGGGAAAAAAAAUAAUGGAAGUCAUUAAUCUUCAGUCAUGGUAACCUAACCAAAAACGAUUUGAAGGAGGAGAAAAAAGAGGGUUACCGAUCAUGAACAGCUAUGCUGAUUAUCCAAAAUACAUGAACCAUGUCUGGAAUUCAUGCUGAAUUCUCAGCUUAAAUAUGAGCUAUGUUGAAGCGAAUUAUAUUUUCUCCUCCCAUUGAUGAGAAAUUUCUCAGAGCAAGAGAAUAUCAACUGAGACUUAGACGUGCUCACUAAGAAGCAGCAGAAGAAAGAACAGAGUCUGCUUGGUGAAGGAAUAGCCACCCCAGAGAAGGAGUAUGGACUUCUAUACACAAUCAUUCAUUCAUUCAUUCAUUCAUUCAUUCAUUCAUUCAUUCACUACUCAUGCAUGAUCUUUGUCCUUAUCUUCCUCCACUGUCACAUGAAUACCCACCCACUGCACCUACCUGCUUCCUAUUCCUGAGAACCCAGGCUCACACACAGAGCCAUGUUUCUGCAAAUGCAGCCCCUCUGACUGCACACCCUUCCCCAGCACCCACCAUGAAGACCAAGAAAAAUGAAUUCCUUCACUAGAAACCCCUUCCUAGCCACCCCUUCUCCAUGAAAGGUGGUUACACCCUCCUGAGUAAAUUAAUGAACCAGUACCACUUACCACAUAAAUUAGCACUAGAGGACAAACGAACAUUGGAAAAAUUGAGGGAUGUUUUCAGUUUAACAAAAAAAAUGCUUUAAAAUUGAAACAUAGGGUACUUUCUGCAAGAUUAAAAUUCCAAUAAAAUCAAAUGUGAGGCUUAUCGGACCCACAGACAAACUCUUGGCUAAAGUUAGGCAUCAUCUCUGGUCCUUCUCAACAAAUGGAUAAAGAAAUGCAGGGGAUCCCAACAUAGUCUCUAGAAAUGAUCGUAUAUUUGAAAGUUUGAAAGCUUUGCAUGGGGCCUGGCAAGGAGUUGAAUGAGCUAAGCUAAGUCUCACUUAUUCUAAUGAUCCUGCUCCUGGCAGAAGAAUGCACUGGGGGUAGGGGGAUCUCAGACUCAGAGGUGGGUAAUUAUCUCCCUCUUCCCCCUCUGCUGGUGCAGCUACAGAAUCCGACAUCAAGAUUCCCUCCCAGAGCCACUUGUGCCACUGAGCCUCACCACCUGCAGCACUGCUGCAGUCCAGUCCUGUGACUAAGGGGGCAGUUAUUCAGCACUGGACAUUCACUGAGAGGAAAAUGAUGGAAGGGGCUGGAGAAUUUCAGGAAAACAAUGUAUUCUGGAGGACAGCCCUCGGAACUGUGACAUAGGUCCAGUUUGUCUUUAGAGCCUUUCCUCCUCACUUCUACCCCCAGAAUAGUCUCCCUGGGCUCCCCAGAUUCUUCUUUGUGGCCCACAAAGGGGCCUAACCUCCCUCCCAUCAACUAAAUCUUUUUGUGUGCCAUCCCCAGAGUAGCAGAUUAAAGCAGUCUGUGAAAAUAUAAGUAAAUGGUCCUGCUAUCUUCCAAGUGGCAUGUCAUUUCAAUAGGGGCUUUCUAGAGCUAAAGCUGAGAACCAGAGAAAUAACCACCAGUGAACAUUUCAGGCCUCAUGAAGCAUGACAACAAAGGCAGAAGGCAGGCAGGUCUUUCUGGGCCCUAGGGAAUCACACCUGCAUAUCAGCUACCUUCCCCUCUCAGAAAUGGGCCAGCCCUAUUUGCAUAGCCCUGAGCCAAGGAAAAGGUCAAGCUUUCCCUUCUCCAUGCAGGGUCACCAUCAUGAUUAUACAACCUGUACCACACCUGUAAGUCCCACCUCCAUGGCCCCUGUGUCUUCCUCUCUACCUCCAGAGCACAGGCCACCACUAAGCAAGGAAAGAGUUCUCACUUCUUUAACCUUCCCACAAUACAGAUAAAUAUCACAUAUAGUGCCUCAAAAGCAAUUUGGCCAUGGAGAUACAUUUGCAAUCACCAGCAACUAAAAGAGACAUGAGUUGCUCUAUAUCUAACUUCAGUCCAUGGUAUUUUGUCUAACUUUUGUCAUGAAAAUUUACACACAGAAAUCAGAGGAGUGGAAAGAAAGCAGAUUACACUGAGUCACAGUUGCACUAGGAAAUAACACAGUGGCUCUCGAAUGUCAUGUGCAUAAGGAUGAUGACCCAAGGCACCUGCUAAAAUGGUAGAUCCCUGGCUCCCACUACAGGAUGCUGAUCCCAUGGAUCUAGAGUAGAAUCUAGGAAUCUGCCUUUUCAUUGCCCACACCCACCACCAUGCGUCAAUGUUUGUAAAGCCAGUGAUCUAUGGACCACUCCUUAAGAAUCAUUGAGAUAGUGCAUGCAGACUACUUAACAGAAAACCUGGUACAAAUUUUCAAUGCUUGCUAGCUAGCAUUAUUACCAAUCAGAAUCAAUCCCAACUUCAUAGAUUCUACUUAGACUUGACCUUUUGCUAAGUGAAAAUUGC
rnacentral:lncRNA from 10 species